CACAUGCUCAUGUAGCCAGAAAUGUUGAACCAAUAACUAGGUGUAUCUCAUGCUAGUUUCCACAAUAAGGCAUUUAUGAAACCACCAGCCCUACCUGUUCUAAAUAAAUGAAUAAAAAUGUGGAUGCUAAUUGAAGAUUAGCAUCAUCUCCCAUCCAUGUUAAUGUGCUUUUUGGUUAUUUGCAAUUCUCUUUUGUAAAUCUGAGGUAAACAUCAUUGUCCAAAUUAGCUCUUUUCACUCAGUAAAGGCCAUAUUAGCAUUCUGAGGUUUGCGUUUGCCUACUGCUUAUUUAGUAAGGUCAGAUGAGAAGCUAGUCAAAUGACUUCCAUUUCACUUAAGAGGCGUACCGAGUGGGGAGAACUCAAGCCUCCAAAGCCCGAACUCCCUGGCAGUGGCUCCCCAGGUCCCUCCCCUCUCUCAGUACUGAGCCACAGCACUGCUGGGAGCAGCAACUACCACCACAGUGGUCUCCCGGGAAGGGCUGGCCCAGAUGGGUGACACUGAGUCAGGUGGUUGCAAGGUCCUCUGCCUGGAUCUCGGUCCCCGUCCCCUCAGCGCUGCCGCCGUUAUCAUCAAUGACAGCUCCAAUGUCACCUUCUCUCUUGCCCCACUGAAGUGGCCAUCAUCCCCCAGGCACUUUCUAUGCCACACUUUCACAGCACACGUCUCGGCAUCCAGAGGGCUCUUUCAUGUCUGCCUGGCUCCCCUGCUGGAACCGAGCUCCAUGACCAUAGCAACCCUGCCCACUCACGCAUCCCUGAAGCCCGGGUGCUGACACCACAGAUGUUCAAUAUUUGUUGAAGGAAUGGAAGUAGGAAGGAAAGUCUGAGCUGGUCAGGGCUUCUGGAGUAACUCUAACAAGGAAAGCGGAGGCUGCACUUGUGGUCUCAAAUCUUUUCCAAACUCCACUGCGUAAAAAAAAAAAAAAAAAAAAAAAAAAAAAGUCUUUGAAACCAGACUCGCAUCCAAAUCCCAACUACUUUAACCAGUGGCAGGAUCACUGGAGCAGAUGGUUUAACCUCCCAGAGCCUGUUUGCUAAACUGCAAAAUGGGGGAAAUGAUACCAUUUAGGUUAAGCGCCUGGCUCUUUCUAAAUGUUGGCUCAAACGGUGGUGACCCUUCCCAGACUUCCACCACUACUGGAAGUUUGCGUCCCAAAGCAGACACCCUCAUCGCCUUGGCUCCGAAUGCAGAGAGCUAGUUCCGAGAAGCCGAGGGGAAGCUGAAGGCGCGCCCUGGCCAACCCUCCCCACGAUCCCCCGCCGCAACCCCUGUCGGCCCCUUCCAGCCCACAGUGGGUGGCCCCAGGCCUCGCUAGGGUCACGUCUCUCGGGUCCCCGCGCAGGGAAGGGUCCAACCAGCGACUCGCAACCUUUUCGGGGUCCCGAGUCCAACACCCGUGGGAAUCCCAUGGGCACCAUGGCCCCUCGCUCCAAAAAUGCUUUCGCGUCGCGCAGACACUGCUCGGUAGUUUCGGGGAUCAGCGUUUGAGUAAGAGCCCGCGUCUGAACCCUCCGCGCCGCCCCGGCCCCAGUGGAAAGACGCGCAGGCAAAACGCACCACGUGACGGAGCGUGACCGCGCGCCGAGCGCGCGCCAAGGUCGGGCAGGAAGAGGGCCUAUUUCCCAUGAUUCCUUCAUAUUUGCAUAUACGAUACAAGGCUGUUAGAGAGAUAAUUAGAAUUAAUUUGACUGUAAACACAAAGAUAUUAGUACAAAAUACGUGACGUAGAAAGUAAUAAUUUCUUGGGUAGUUUGCAGUUUUAAAAUUAUGUUUUAAAAUGGACUAUCAUAUGCUUACCGUAACUUGAAAGUAUUUCGAUUUCUUGGCUUUAUAUAUCUUGUGGAAAGGACGAAACACCGUGCUCGCUUCGGCAGCACAUAUACUAAAAUUGGAACGAUACAGAGAAGAUUAGCAUGGCCCCUGCGCAAGGAUGACACGCAAAUUCGUGAAGCGUUCCAUAUUUUUACAUCAGGUUGUUUUUCUGUUUUUACAUCAGGUUGUUUUUCUGUUUGGUUUUUUUUUUACACCACGUUUAUACGCCGGUGCACGGUUUACCACUGAAAACACCUUUCAUCUACAGGUGAUAUCUUUUAACACAAAUAAAAUGUAGUAGUCCUAGGAGACGGAAUAGAAGGAGGUGGGGCCUAGGCAGAUUCAUCUCUGCGGUGCAUUUUGCCUCUGGCCCUCGGGCCCUAGUUUGCGAUCUUUCCCAUCUUGCCUCUGCUUCCCUCUGCACAAUCCUGAGUAUUGCAGUACCUUACACUUAAGGAAAUUUCGUCUUGCCAAAGUUGAUCCAUUUCAGCUCCGAAACAUAACAGGAACUAGUGCAACGAUAAACGUAUGAGGAACUUGCAAUAAGAGUGACAGAAUCCUUUGAAUCAAAAAAAAAAAAAAAGCCACCACUUAAUGAGUAUCUACCAUAUGUCAAGGGCUUCACCAAUAUUUCAUUGAAAUAUUCCAGACCAAAUAAAUAAAUAAUAAAAGAAAAAAAGAAAAGGGGGAGGGGGCAGAAAAAUAAAAUAAUGUUUAAAAAAUUCCUGACAGCCCCACCCUGUGGGUUUUACUGUUUUACUGUCAUCAUUUUACACCAAUCACUGAGAGGUAAAGCCUGAUAAGACUUACAGAGGCACAGACCCUGAAAAGAUCGGGACCCAGGUCUCAGAAAAAUGGUGCAACUGCUUUGCUAGUGCUUCAGCAUGCACGUGGGCCCUGCGGCCACUGGGACCUCAGUCGAUCUGCCGGGAGCGGCCGCACAGCUCCCAGCCUCCAGGCGCGCCGCAGGAGGACUGUUAGGCUCGAAGCCCCGGAGCCACCCAGGGACAGCGGCGGGUACUCUACCAGCGGGCGCUGGGAGCUGCCGGGCAGCAUUCCAUUCAGGACUCAUUCCUUUUCUCUUCAGUGGAAGUGAAAUGAUCCUUUCCAGGUAACAGCCGAGCAUAGGGGACUGCGGGACAUCUCCGCCUCUUCCUUGGCUCUGGGCCUUCGAUGUAAGGCGUUAGAGGACAAUCUUUGUUGGCUGGAUUUCUGUUCUUCCCCUAGAGAUAUCUGGUUCUUUGGAGGCCACUUGGGCAAUUGGACAUUUUCAGCACCUAGAUGAACCGCAAAGUUGGAAGCCUUUCAUCUACACAUGUGUUGUGUGCCUGUGGAGCCCUGGGCCCUGUGUUGAAGAUUGCAAGGAAAAGCAAGGUGUGACCCCUGCUGUGGACUUACUUUCAGUCUUAGGGCAACAGACACUUACAACCAAGAAUAACAAAGGGAGCCGUCGGAACAUCCUGGGACUCCAAGGCUCCGACCCCCAGCGCAAAGGACUCUAGGGACUGGCUUCCUGGCUGUACCGCGCAGCGGGACUCCUCGUCUGCACAGCUUCGGGGAGGCCCAGAGCACGCCCCUACUAGCCGGCUCCGUCCAAGGCCCACCAAGACAACCCGCCACGAAACUUCCCGGCCCCCUCAGCCCAGGGCUCCCGGUCCCGAGCUGCUGGCCGGUGGCGCGGGGCCUGCCGCCCGCCUUCUACGAGCCGCAUGGACGGAGGCCUGCGUGUUAUUUCAUAGAGGCCGAAACGGAGACCCAGGAAAGAUAAAAGAAGGGCUCAACCCGGGACCCCCACUAGCCAGCCGAGGGCGAGAAAUGAAAGCCAAGGCUGAAUGAUUCCCUGUGCCGUGAGCUCUCUCCCACUCCAUCCACACUCUCCUCCCUGCAAAGAGUGUUCUGCAAUUUGCAGCGUCGUCUGUAGCCCAAGCAGGAGGUGCGCUGUGGAAACUGAGGCCGCUGGGAGGCCUUGCCAACCGUGACCCGGACGUCGGACGCCCCAGCCGAGGCCCGGCGAGUCCUUAGCCCCUCUCGAACUAAAAUGGACCGAACAGAAAAUGCGGACGGGGCUCCCUCCUUUCGGGUAGCGGCGGGGCAGACGGGAGGCCGUCUGUGACCGAGCUCUCCAAGUCCCGCCUUCCUUUCCAAGCCUGCCCGGCGGAGACCACCUUACUCCCUGAGACCUCCGCCCUGCCGCAGCGCUCCCAGGCCAGGCCAGGCCGGCGGUGCCCGCGCCAUCUAAAGGGACAAUUCUGGUUGAACCUGGGAUUCCCGGCAGGGCGCCCUGUCUGUGAGCGCCCCGGAGGUAACUUCCCCGGUGUGGCAGGCGUGGAAAUGGGCAUGGAUGAACCCUCGGCGCCUUCGAGCUCUUGAGGAAAGAGCCCGGGACCGCUGCGCUAAGGACCGUGACGUAAUGCCCCUCCUCCAUUCCGGGCCCAAGGGAGGGUCCUAAACGCGGAGAGGGAGUGCCCUGUGGGGGAAAACUGAGUGUGUCUGGAGGGCACAGUGGAGAGGUUGAGUGCUCGCUGCUGCCCACUUGAGCAGGCCCGAUUCUGACCCUGGGAGCCCCAGAACCCGCGGGGCGGCUCCCACCCCCACCUGUUGCACGGUGUUCCGCCGCCCCGCUCCGCCGGUGCACUCCCACCUCCGUAGCCCCAGAAGUGACAUCUUUUAUUAUUAUUAUUAUUAUUAUUAAAAACGAAAGUCACGGGUACAGGGUGGUCUCCCCAAACAGGCUCCAGGUGGUUGCCAUCUCGUGAGUCAGUUGUCGCCCUUUUAAAGUGCUGUUACAUCAAGAGGUUACAACAAAAAAUAGCCAAAGCAAAAUCCAAAGGGGAAUGCAAAACGGGACUGGAAGUGGGUCCAGGAGAAGGAAGCAAAAAUAACUUACAGCAUAAAUAAAUUAAAGUGAACCUAAUACUG
rnacentral:lncRNA from 10 species